rnacentral:rRNA from 1 species
AGAGUUUGAUCCUGGCUCAGGACGAAUGCUGGCUGCGUGCUUAACACAUGCAAGUCGAACGGUGAACAGGGGCUUGCCCCUGGGAUCAGUGGCGAACGGGUGAGUAACACGUGGGCAACCUGCCCCUCACUCUGGGAUAACUCCGGGAAACCGGGGCUAAUACCGGAUACGACCAGACGCGACAUCGCGUCCGGUGGAAAGAACUUCGGUGAGGGAUGGGCCCGCGGCCUAUCAGCUUGUUGGUGAGGUAAUGGCUCACCAAGGCGACGACGGGUAGCCGGCCUGAGAGGGCGACCGGCCACACUGGGACUGAGACACGGCCCAGACUCCUACGGGAGGCAGCAGUGGGGAAUAUUGCGCAAUGGGCGAAAGCCUGACGCAGCGACGCAGCGUGAGGGACGAAGGCCUUCGGGUUGUAAACCUCUUUCAGCGGGGACGAAGCGCAAGUGACGGUACCCGCAGAAGAAGCACCGGCUAACUACGUGCCAGCAGCCGCGGUAAUACGUAGGGUGCAAGCAUUGUCCGGAUUUAUUGGGCGUAAAGAGCUCGUAGGCGGCUUGUCACGUCGGGUGUGAAAACUCGGGGCUUAACCCCGAGCCUGCACUCGAUACGGGCUAGCUAGAGUGUUGCAGGGGAGACUGGAAUUCCUGGUGUAGCGGUGAAAUGCGCAGAUAUCAGGAGGAACACCGGUGGCGAAGGCGGGUCUCUGGGCAACUACUGACGCUGAGGAGCGAAAGCGUGGGGAGCGAACAGGAUUAGAUACCCUGGUAGUCCACGCCGUAAACGUUGGGCGCUAGGUGUGGGGAACCUUCCACGUUCUCCGUGCCGUAGCUAACGCAUUAAGCGCCCCGCCUGGGGAGUACGGCCGCAAGGCUAAAACUCAAAUGAAUUGACGG